ACGCACGCUGGCGGCGUGCUUAACCCAUGCCAGUCGAACGGAAAGGCCCUGCUUUUGUGGGGUGCUCGAGUGGCGAACGGGUGAGUAACACGUGAGUAACCUGCCCUUGACUUUGGGAUAACUUCAGGAAACUGGGGCUAAUACCGGAUAGGAGCUCCUGCUGCAUGGUGGGGGUUGGAAAGUUUCGGCGGUUGGGGAUGGACUCGCGGCUUAUCAGCUUGUUGGUGGGGUAGUGGCUCACCAAGGCUUUGACGGGUAGCCGGCCUGAGAGGGUGACCGGCCACAUUGGGACUGAGAUACGGCCCAGACUCCUACGGGAGGCAGUAGUGGGGAAUAUUGCACAAUGGGCGGAAGCCUGAUGCAGCAACGCCGCGUGCGGGAUGACGGCCUUCGGGUUGUAAACCGCUUUCGCCUGUGACGAAGCGUGAGUGACGGUAAUGGGUAAAGAAGCACCGGCUAACUACGUG
rnacentral:rRNA from 1 species